rnacentral:pre_miRNA from 1 species
AAGCCACCUUCUGUGCCCCCAGCCCCACGUGUCUGGGUCACGUGAGCGGGGCCAUGUGGGCCUAAUGUGGGGCUAGGGCCACAGGGGUCUGCGGG